AGCUCAUGUACAAGACUUCUUAAAAUGGGAGUUCCCGCACACACGGCUACAUUCACACAAAAAUAAACAUAAUACAAACUCAGUAUCUUAAAAUGCCACAACAACAAACAUAAUACAACCAGCACAUCAACAAACAAAACUACCAUGCAAGAAACUUGAAAUCAUGAUGAAGACGAAUUGAAUAAUAAGAAUCCACAUCAACAGCUUACAAUUGAACCCUAAAACAAAACUAGAAACAAGAUUACAAAAAGCCAAUUCACUCCCAAUUAUAAAAGAAAGCAAACAAGAGAUGCAAACAGUUUCAUCAUCACUACAAAUCUGAAACAAGAACUCCCAAAACAUGAUUAGAAUCUGAAACAUGUAACAUGUUCUCUACUAGAGUAGUAGAGAAAGCCUUAGAUCAGAGAAUACAAAUACAGAAACAGCAUUACACAUAACUCAUUCCAAUUUCAGAAACCAUAUUGAGGAAAUUGUAAAGAAAUGGUAUGUGAGGUGAAAUGCAUCAAGGUUAGAUUCAUUGCAGGAGGAUCAGCCUCAUCUUAUAUAGUUCAGCAAAACAAAGAGAUGGGAAAUAAAUUAAUCAAGAAGUUCUGCUUAUAACAAGGCUUACCAGUUCUUAAGUACCAAAACCAAACAUUAAAUUAAUUAAUUAAACCAAACAUCAGAAAGAAAUAUAAAACUACAACAAGAAAAGGGUUUUAAAAGAACUAACCAGAGGAGAAAAGGGUUGCCUCAGAUCUCUUUGGUUGCUUUAUAACAAUCGAUGCACUGUCCUGUUACAAACCAAAACAUCAAAAUCAAGAGUCUUUAACUGAUAUUAAACCCUAAACGAAACUUAAAAGACAAGAGUGACUGAAGAAACUAAUUAGAAUCUGCAAAAAAGCUGCAAAAACGCAACAGACAAACACCAAUUGAGAUCACAUAACAUGCUUAACAAAUUAAAGCUGCAAAAAAAGCUUAAUCAACUAGAGUGAAUCAACUAGAGUGACUUAAGAAACUAAGAAGAAGAACCAGAAGUUACAAACGAAAUGAGUUUGGUAGACUAAGUACACAUACCAGACAACAACACCUUCAAAGAACAACACAUUCAUGAGUUAGUUGACUAACUACGUACACAAACCAGAAAACACAUAAAACACUAACUCAUUGGCUUUUUAUAAUGAAUCUCAUUGUCUUUGUGUCAUUGGUGAUGAUUGCCUAGGGUACCUGACGUCCAAAGUUGAAAAAAUGUGUUUGGACAUUUCGCUUUUCUUAGGCAUAAAUUGAAAUCAGGCUUUGCGACAUUGUUAGCUUCUUUUCAC
rnacentral:lncRNA from 1 species